AGUGAACGCUGGCGGUAGGCCUAACACAUGCAAGUCGAACGGCAGCACAGUAAGAGCUUGCUCUUACGGGUGGCGAGUGGCGGACGGGUGAGGAAUACAUCGUAAUCUACUUUUUCGUGGGGGAUAUCGUAGCGACACUUACGCUAAUACCGCAUACGACCUACCGUUGAAAGCAGGUGAUCUUCGUACCUUUCGCGAUUGAAUGAGCCGAUGUCGGAUUAGCUAGUUGGCGGGGUAAAGGCCCACCAAGGCGACGAUCCGUAGCUGGUCUGAGAGGGUGGACAGCCACAGUGGAACUGAGACACGGUCCAGACUCCGACGGGAGGCAGCAGUGGGGAAGAUUGGACAAUGGGCGCAAGCCUGAUCCAGCCAUACCGCGUGGGUGAAGAAGGCCUGCGGGUUGUAAAGCCCUUUUGUUGGGAAAGAAAGCAGCAGGUUAAUAACCAGCUGUUCUGACGGUACCCAAAGAAUAAGCACCGGCUAACUUCGUG
rnacentral:rRNA from 1 species